rnacentral:rRNA from 1 species
GGGGAACAGAAGGCCUAGACAUGCAGUCGAGCGGUAUAGAGAAUAUUGCUUCUCUUGAGAGCGGCGGACGGGUGAGUAAAGCCUAGGAAUCUGCCUGGUAGUGGGGGAUAACGCUCGGAAACGGACGCUAAUACCGCAUACGUCCUACGGGAGAAAGCAGGGGACCUUCGGGCCUUGCGCUAUCAGAUGAGCCUAGGUCGGAUUAGCUAGUUGGUGAGGUAAUGGCUCACCAAGGCGACGAUCCGUAACUGGUCUGAGAGGAUGAUCAGUCACACUGGAACUGAGACACGGUCCAGACUCCUACGGGAGGCAGCAGUGGGGAAUAUUGGACAAUGGGCGAAAGCCUGAUCCAGCCAUGCCGCGUGUGUGAAAAAGGUCUUCCUAUUGUACGGCACUUUACCUUGGUAUUAAGGACAUUACCUGACUACAGCCGGUGCC